AAGAGAGCAUGGGUUUCAAAGUGUGGUGAACCUGGUUCAAAUCCCCACUUCAGCACCUGCUGCAGUAUGAUCUAGAGAAAGUUCUGGAACCUGUUUGUUUCUCAUUGACCUAAGUUACCUGAAAGGGCUGGCACGACGCCAGUGGGCCCUGCUUCUGCUGCUGCUGCCAAUGUCCUUAUGCAAAUGGCCUCCGCCUUGUGCACUUCUGUUCCCAUCUGCAAAACAGGAGCCUUGGCCAGGGCAUUUCUAAGGCCACUUCCCUGUUUAAGCCACUUUAGCUUGAUGGAAGCGUCUCAGGUUUUAUACUCUGGAACAUUUGGAUAUAGCUGGGAAUUUCUCUCCUGGAGGAAGCAGAGGGUGAUGUUUCAGCCAGCAAUCCUGCACCCACAAGAAAGCCUGCCCCUGGUCAGCAGAACAGCAAUCAGAGAAGCUGCUUAUGAAGAUGGAGUGGCCUGUACCACAGAGGAGGAACCCAAAUGGAAUCAAGGAGUGGAACAUAAAAAUCGGUUUCUUAUGCCUCUGCACUUCACCUUUCUCCUGUUCAUCCCACUCUGCCAUCAUUGCCUGCUUGCCUCCGAAUUGCCCACGACAGUGCAGUCUGGGCACGGAUCACACCUCCCAUGCAGCGGUGGCUUUGUGAUCUGUCCACCUGGGUAAGCUGAACCACACUUCCCAGAAUUCCCUUCCCGUGUGUUUCCGGUUAGAGUGGAGCACAGAGGAGAAACUUGUGGAAGGUUUGGAGGUGGGAAGUGAAGCAGCAGUCAUUUUACAGCUCACACGAAUUGUGGCUUCUCUGCUGGCUCACCUCAGCAGAGGCAGGAACUGACAUGGGGCCGGGUGCAGUGGCUCACGCCUGUAAUCCCAACACUUUGGAGAGGCCAAGGCAGGUGGAUUGCUUGAGACCGGGAGUUCAAGACCAGCCUGGGCAACAUGGCAAAACCCUUCUCUACAAAAAAUACAAACAUUAGCCAGGUGUGGUGGCUCAUGCCUGUAGUCCUAGCUACUUGGGAGGCUGAGUUGGGAGGAUUUGCUUGAGACCAGGAAGGUCAAGGCUGCAGGGAGCUGAGAUUGGGCCAUGACACUCCAGCCUGGGCAACAGAGUGAGACCCUGUCUCAAAAAAACAAAAAAGAACUGACACAGACGGAUGUGUCUGCCUUCAAGGGCUUCCACUUGGGCUUGUCCUCCCUUACUUUAUAUCCGUCUGUCCUUCCCGAUUGUCUGCAGAGCCUGCUUAAGCAGCCCCAGUGCCAGUGACUGUGUAAGGUCAAAUUCCCACAACAAAUCUCUUCAAACAAGUACCUCUUAGUGGUUCUGCUUUUCUGAUGAAACCCUGAUGGGUACACACUCAUUUAUUCAUUCAACCAAAAAAUAUUAACUGAUAAAAAAUACUGAACACUACCAUGCACCAGAUACUAGGUGCUAGGUAGUGAAUAAAACAAAGUUCCUGCCACCAUGGUGUGAGGUGUACUGUCAUAUCCCCAAGAUAUACCCCACUGCUGAAUGAGCGUCUGAGGACCAGGUGCUGGUGCUGACUCCUCUGUUGACACCUGUGUGACUUUGGAUCAGAAUCCUUUAAUCUCUCCACAUCUAGAUUUCUUCAUUAGUAAACUGGGGUGAGCAACCUCCCAAUCUACUUCUCAUAUAAAUGCAGGUGGGGCCGGGCACGGUGGC
rnacentral:lncRNA from 1 species